rnacentral:rRNA from 1 species
AGUGAACGCUGGCGGUAGGCCUAACACAUGCAAGUCGAACGGCAGCACAGUAAGAGCUUGCUCUUACGGGUGGCGAGUGGCGGACGGGUGAGGAAUACAUCGGAAUCUACUUUUUCGUGGGGGAUAACGUAGGGAAACUUACGCUAAUACCGCAUACGACCUACGGGUGAAAGCAGGGGAUCUUCGGACCUUGCGCGAUUGAAUGAGCCGAUGUCGGAUUAGCUAGUUGGCGGGGUAAAGGCCCACCAAGGCGACGAUCCGUAGCUGGUCUGAGAGGAUGAUCAGCCACACUGGAACUGAGACACGGUCCAGACUCCUAAGGGAGGCAGCAGUGGGGAAUAUUGGAGAAUGGGCGCAAGCCUGAUCCAGCCAUACCGCGUGGGUGAAGAAGGCCUUCGGGUUGUAAAGCCCUUUUGUUGGGAAAGAAAAGCAGCAGGUUAAUACCCCGCUGUUCUGACGGUACCCAAAGAAUAAGCACCGGCUAACUUCGUG